GGAAUAUUGGUCAAUGGACGAAAGUCUGAACCAGCCAAGUAGCGUGCAGGAUGACGGCCCUAUGGGUUGUAAACUGCUUUUAUACAGGGAUAAAGUCGGGAACGUGUUCCCGUUUGUAGGUACUGUAUGAAUAAGGACCGGCUAAUUCCGUGCCAGCAGCCGCGGUAAUACGGAAGGUCCGGGCGUUAUCCGGAUUUAUUGGGUUUAAAGGGAGCGCAGGCCGACUGGUAAGCGUGACGUGAAAUGUAGCCGCUCAACGGCUGAACUGCGUCGCGAACUGUCAGUCUUGAGUGAGUACGACGUCAGCGGAAUUCGUGGUGUAGCGGUGAAAUGCUUAGAUAUCACGAAGAACCCCGAUUGCGAAGGCAGCUGACGAGUCCUUUACUGACGCUAAAGCUCGAAGGUGCGGGUAUCGAACA
rnacentral:rRNA from 1 species